UGUAUUCAGCCUGGAUUGCUAUGGGGUA
rnacentral:piRNA from 1 species